rnacentral:rRNA from 1 species
UUCCGGUUGAUCCUGCCGGACCUGACUGCUAUCGGAUUGAUAUUAAGCCAUGCGAGUCAUUGUAGCAAUGCAAGGCAACGGCUCAGUAACGCGUAGUCAACCUAACCUAUGGACGGGGAUAACCUCGGGAAACUGAGAAUAAUACCCGAUAGAACAUUAUGCCUGGAAUGGUUUAUGUUUCAAAUAAUUAUUGCCGUAGGAUGGGACUGCGGCCUAUCAGUUUGUUGGUGAGGUAAUGGCCCACCAAGACUAUUACAGGUACGGGCUCUGAGAGGAGUAGCCCGGAGAUGGGUACUGAGACACGGACCCAGGCCCUAUGGGGCGCAGCAGGCGAGAAAACUUUGCAAUGUGCGAAAGCACGACAAGGUUAAUCCGAGUGGUUUCUGCUAAAGGAACCUUUUGUUAGUCAUAGAACCACUAAUGAAUAAGGGGUGGGCAAGUUCUGGUGUCAGCCGCCGCGGUAAAACCAGCACCUCAAGUGGUCAGGAUGAUUAUUGGGCCUAAAGCAUCCGUAGCCUGCUUUGUAAGUUUUCGGUUAAAUCCAUACGCUCAACGUAUGGGCCGCCGGAAAUACUGCAAAGCUAGGGAGUGGGAGAGGUAGACGGUACUCGGUAGGAAGGGGUAAAAUCCUUUGAUCUAUUGAUGACCACCUGUGGCGAAGGCGGUCUACCAGAACACGUCCGACGGUGAGGGAUGAAAGCCGGGGGAGCAAACCGGAUUAGAUACCCGGGUAGUCCCAGCUGUAAACUAUGCAAACUCGGUGAUGCAUUGGCUUGAUGCCAAUGCAGUGCCGCAGGGAAGCCGUUAAGUUUGCCGCCUGGGAAGUACGUACGCAAGUAUGAAACUUAAAGGAAUUGGCGGGGGAGCACCACAAGGGGUGAAGCCUGCGGUUCAAUUGGAGUCAACGCCGG